GCCUAACACAUGCAAGUCGAGCGGCAGCACAAGUGAGUUUACUUAUGAGUGUGGCGAGCGGCGGACGGGUGAGUAAUGCCUAGGGAUCUGCCCAGUCGAGGGGGAUAACAGUUGGAAACGACUGCUAAUACCUGCAUACGCCCUACGGGGGAAAGGAGGGGACCUUCGGGCCUUCCGCGAUUGGAUGAACCUAGGUGGGAUUAGCUAGUUGGUGAGGUAAUGGCUCACCAAGGCGACGAUCCCUAGCUGUUCUGAGAGGAUGAUCAGCCACACUGGUGACUGAGACACGGCCAGACUCCUACGGGAGGCAGCAGUGGGGAAUAUUGCACAAUGGGGGAAACCCUGAUGCAGCCAUGCCGCGUGUGUGAAGAAGGCCUUCGGGUUUGUAAAGCACUUUUCAGUAGGGAGGGACACGGGGUGAGGUCUUAAUACGGGCUCAUCUUGUGACGUUACCUACCAGAAAGAAGGACCGGCUAACUCCGUGCCA
rnacentral:rRNA from 1 species